rnacentral:rRNA from 1 species
GACGAACGCUGGCGGCGUGCCUAAUACAUGCAAGUAGAACGCACAGUUUAUACCGUAGCUUGCUACACCAUAGACUGUGAGUUGCGAACGGGUGAGUAACGCGUAGGUAACCUGCCUGGUAGCGGGGGAUAACUAUUGGAAACGAUAGCUAAUACCGCAUAAUAUUAAUUAUUGCAUGAUAAUUAAUUGAAAGGUGCAAUUGCACCACUACCAUAUGGACCUGCGUUGUAUUAGCUAGUAGGUGAGGUAACGGCUCACCUAGGCGACGAUACAUAGCCGACCUGAGAGGGUGAUCGGCCACACUGGGACUGAGACACGGCCCAGACUCCUACGGGAGGCAGCAGUAGGGAAUCUUCGGCAAUGGACGAAAGUCUGACCGAGCAACGCCGCGUGAGUGAAGAAGGUUUUCGGAUCGUAAAGCUCUGUUGUAAGAGAAGAACGGGUGUGAGAGUGGAAAGUUCACACUGUGACGGUAUCUUACCAGAAAGGGACGGCUAACUACGUG